AGAGUUUGAUCAUGGCUCAGAAUCAACGCUGGCGGCGUGCCUAACACAUGCAAGUCGAACGCGAAAGCCCCGCAAGGGGUAAGUAGAGUGGCAAACGGGUGAGUAACACGUGGGUGACCUGCCUUCGAGUGGGGGAUAACGUCCCGAAAGGGACGCUAAUACCGCAUGACAUCCUGCCUUUGGAAAGGCGGAGAUCAAAGCUGGGGAUUGCAAGACCUGGCGCUUGAAGAGGGGCCCGCGCCUGAUUAGCUAGUUGGUGGGGUAAUGGCCUACCAAGGCGACGAUCAGUAUCCGGCCUGAGAGGGCGGACGGACACACUGGGACUGAGACACGGCCCAGACUCCUACGGGAGGCAGCAGUGGGGAAUUGUUCGCAAUGGGCGCAAGCCUGACGACGCAACGCCGCGUGGAGGACGAAGAUCUUCGGGUCGUAAACUCCUGUCGAGCGGGAAGAACACCCAUCCAGUGAACAACUGGGAGGGCUGACGGUACCGCUAAAGGAAGCCCCGGCUAACUCCGUGCCAGCAGCCGCGGUAAUAC
rnacentral:rRNA from 1 species